AUACAUUCUGUAAAAACAGUAUUCCCCAGCCUCCUCCUAUCCCCUCCACAAAAUAUUGCUAAGAACUUUAAAUAUACUAAUUUAAAAUAGAGGCAUGACAAAUAACUUUAGGUGCUUUGUUUUGAAAGGGAAGUCUUAAUGAGACCUUCAAAAAUCACCCCCGAGAUAAAACUUGUUUUCCCAGGCUUCAAACAGAUAAAAUGAAGACAUAGCAUUCGGGGCUUAGUGGAUUAAUGGCUGAUUUUUUUCACCUCUUGAGUGCUGGAUUUAAACUGUAUAUGGCCUCUGUUCAAUUUUUAGUGGGCACAGGUCCAUGUUCAAAAACCACCACACAUGUGGGAACUAUUCCCAAGCAAUUGGUGCUGUGUGGUCAGACUGGGACAAGAUUGGCAGUAAGGGUGCCAGAGGCCAGGGCGCAGGUGCACUGCGGAGACACACACAAAAGUCCUCAAAUCGGCAUGUGUCUGAGUCAUACCUAACUCUGGGGACUGACUGUUAUUGCUUUCACGAGCAUAAAAAAAUAAAAUAAAAUAAAUCAACAUCACCCACUUCUGCACUUCUGUUGUAAAAAAAAAAAAAUCAAUAGAUAUUACAUAACAGCAGGAACAAUUUUACCAUUCUAUUAUUAAACAUUGUAUUAUUUCCUUAAAUCUUGUGCCAGAACCAACCCAGACACCCAUGAAAGGGGGAGGUACAGUUCUUUUUUCAUGCUCCGCUCCAAGUGUACAGGCACAGGCCCCUUCCCCCAACCCUCCUUAAAAAAAAAAAAGGUA